rnacentral:rRNA from 1 species
AAUCUUAGACAAUUGGGGCAACCCUGAUCUAGCCAUGCCGCGUGAGUGAUGAAGGCCUNGGGGUGNUNAAGCUCUUUCAGCUGUGNAGAUAAUAACGGUAGCAGCAUAAGAAGUCCCGGCUAACUCCGUGCCGGCAGCCGCGGUAAUACGGAGGGGACUAGCGGUGUUCGGAAUUAGUGGGAGGAAUGGCCACGUAGGCGGAUCGGAAAGUUGGGGGUGAAAUCCCGGGGCGCAACCCCGGAACUGCCAUCAAAACUAUCGGUCUGGGGUUCGAGAGAGGUGAGUGGAAGUCCGAGUGUAGAGGUGAAAUUCGUAGAUAUUCGGAGGAACACCAGUGGCGAAGGCGGCUCACUGGCUCGAUACUGACGCUGAGGUGCGAAAGCGUGGGGAGCAAACA